rnacentral:rRNA from 1 species
CCUACGGGGGGCAGCAGUGAGGAAUAUUGGUCAAUGGGCGGGAGCCUGAACCAGCCAAGCCGCGUGAGGGAAGAAGGUACAGCGUAUCGUAAACCUCUUUUGUCAGGGAACAAAGGCGGGGACUCGUCCCCGGAUGAGUGUACCUGAAGAAAAAGCAUCGGCUAACUCCGUGCCAGCAGCCGCGGUAAUACGGAGGAUGCGAGCGUUAUCCGGAUUUAUUGGGUUUAAAGGGGGCGCAGGCGGAGUGUUAAGUCAGCGGUAAAAGCCCGGGGCUCAACCCCGGCGAGCCGUUGAAACUGGCAGGCUGGAGGUGGGGAGAGGGGAGCGGAAUGCGGGGUGUAGCGGGGAAAUGCUUAGAUA